rnacentral:rRNA from 1 species
CGGGACGGGUGAGUAAUGUCUGGGAAACUGCCUGAUGGAGGGGGAUAACUACUGGAAACGGUAGCUAAUACCGCAUAAUGUCUGCGGACCAAAGCGGGGGACCUCCGGGCCUCGCGCCAUCAGAUGAACCCAUAUGGGAUUAGCUAGUAGGUAAGGUAACGGCUUACCUAGGCGACGAUCCCUAGCUGGUCUGAGAGGAUGAUCAGCCACACUGGGACUGAGACACGGCCCAG